CAUAUUUAAACCUGAUAGUAUAUUUUAGUAAUAAAGAUAAUAUUGUUUCUUAGACAAAAUGGAAUUAUUUAUCCAUCGAUAGGAUAUGUCUUGUUUUGUGUUUUGUGCAAUUUCACAAAAUGUCCUAAACUUCCAAUCAAUAUAAAGGUUUUGGAUGGGGUGGAGUAAAUUUAGCAUUGAUCUCUCCUCAGCAAAAAUGUCUAAAGUUACAAAGAAAACAUGAGGCAGAAAUGCGAGUCUGAUCUCCAAUAAAACCAGGAGAAAGCUAACAUUUGAACCAUAAAAUCAGAAUAAGGGUUAAAAUUACACGAAGGUCGAAGAACAUACAGAAGGAAGAUAGCCACUGCAGCAGAUCACAGAAAAAGCUGAUACAGCAUACUUCUCCAGGAAGAUGCUCAAAACCAGAGACCUUAUUAUGACAGGAGAAAUGACCUACAGGAGCUGAUUCAAGUAAGAUCUGUUGGAUCACCACUGCAGACAACAAGAUACUCACAAAAGUCUUCUUACGAUGCUCCCUUACUGAAACAAGAAUGCAGAGGGUAAGACAUAAAUUCAACUCAGUGGUCUUGCUUUGAGUUGAGGCUUAGGCUGCCCCCCCAAAUUCUUCUCACUGGCUUUCCCUGCUAUUCAUCGAAAGGAUGAACUCCUAACAUUUUAUUUCUUUAUAUUCCACCACUUCUAAUCCCUGGCACAUUUUCCACAUUGAAAUACAGUGGCUAUUUGUUUGUUUGUUUGUUGUCUCCUGGACCUGUCUCUUAACAGUCUUUAUUUGAUUUCUUCAAAACAGAGAAAAAAAUACAUUUGCUUAGGUCUUACUUCUAUGCUAGCCUCUCUGGUUUCCUUGUUCUAAAUUAAAGUUGUCGAUCACCUAUUGCCUCAAAUAAUCUCCUUUUAUUAACAUAGGCAGGGGCAAAUAGAGAUCUGUGACUGAGGAGGAAAUAGAAUUGCUCAUAAGAAUGAAAAGAGCUAUUCAGAUGUUCCUAGCAUAGAGUAGUAAGAAAAUAAGAUUUCAACUUUAACCUUCCAGCCAACUAUAUACUCUGCCUCACUCACUUUCCUUAUAAUACAAUCUAGUUUGACUAUUCAGCAAUUCUGACCUAGCAAAUUAAAAUUCUCUGUUUUUGAUCAGUGUUUUGUUUUUGUUUUUGGUGUUUUGGGUUUGUGUGUGUGUGUGUGUGUGUGUGUGUGUGUGUGUGUGUGAAAGAGAGAGAGAGAGAUUUUGGAGAUCGGUAAAGAGUUCUAUAGGAUUAAUAUAGAAAUUGCUGUUUGAAGCUUUCU
rnacentral:lncRNA from 1 species